AAAAAGUUUUCUCUCCAACUCCAGUCGCCGAUCCUCGUUUGCUAUCUGUAUGCGCGCGCAAUGCCCCAAAGAGUGGCAGUAGGUCGUAAAACUAACACCUUAACUUUGAGCACCCAUAACUUCUUCAUAAAAACCCCAAAUGAUACAAAACUUACACCAAAACCAUAGCCAAAAAUCUAAACCUUCUGAUCCUAGCAUUCAAA
rnacentral:lncRNA from 1 species